GUCUUUUUGUUGUUGUUGUUGUUGCUAUUUCUUGGGCCGCUCCUGCGGCAUAUGGAGGUUCCCAGGCUAGGGGUUGAAUCGGAGCUGUAGCCACCAGCCUACGCCAGAGCCACAGCAACACGGGAUCCGAGCCGCGUCUGCAACCUACACCACAGCUCACGGCAACGCCAGAUCGUUGCGCCACAACGGGAACUCCUUUUAGUAUUUUUUUUUUUAAGCUGGGUUAGUGUGGUGCUGAAUUCUCUUAGCUUUUGCUUAUCAGUAAAGCUUUUGAUUUCUCUUUCAAAUCUGAAUGAGAGCCUUGCUGGGUAAUCUUGGUUGGUGGUUUUUUUCCUUUUAUCACUUUAAGUAUAUUGUGCCACUCCCUUCUGGCCUGCAGAGUUUCUGCUGAAAAAUCUGCAACCUUAUCAAGGCUCCCUUGUGUGUUAUUUAUUUCUUUUCCCUAGUUAUUUCAGUAUUUUCUCUUCAUCUUUAAUUUUGGUCACUUUGAUUAAUAUGUGUCUCGGGGUGUUCCCUCUUGGGUUUAUUUUAUAUGGUACUCGUUGUGCUUCCUGGAUUUGGGUAAGUGAUUCCUUUCCCAUGUUAGGGAAGUUUUUGGCUAUUAUCUCUUCAUAUUUUUUCUGGCCCUUUCUCCCUCUCUUCUCCUUCUGGCACCCCUAUGAUAUGGAUGUUGGUGCAUUUAACGUUGGGGGAUUCUCCUCCCAACACUAGAUCCCCAGGUGUGGGGGCGUGACGUGGGGCUGGGAACUCUCACUCCCUUGAGAUAUAGUGACUUUUCAGUCUGUGGGCUGUCCACCUGGCAGGAUUGGGUUGCUUAUACUGCAUAAUUGUCCCUCCUACCAUCUCAGUGUAGCCUUCUCUUUGUCUUCUGGAGUAGAGUAUCUUUUUUGAUAGUUUUCAGUCUAUUUGAUUGAAGGUUGUUCAGCAGUUGAUUGUAAUUUUGUUGCUUUUAUGAGAGAAGGCAAACUCCAGUGUUUCUGCUCCACCAUUUUAGUCCCCCAGGGGGAAUCCCUCUUGACUUCCAAGUUGCCUCUCCCAUCUCUUCCCACUUCUCCUGCUCUGGUUCCAAUUCAUCCAGCAGUAUCUGCCCUAGGAACCACAAAAUCCCAGAAGCCCCUGAGGAUAUCCUGCUUCUGGUGAUUGAUACCCAAUGCCUGCCUCCUAGAGGUUGACUGGACAGAUGCCCAAUGCCUGCUGUUUCUGCUGAUUGGACAGAGUCCUUUUCCCCAGUACCUGGUGACACUGGGUUUGCAAUACCUCAUAGAUAAUACAUGAAAACAAAACCUGUUGGUGUUUUUAGGGGAGCUUGGGGGGAGGUUCUGUUAUUUUUUUUUAGAUUAACCAAACAUAAUUUUUUUAAAAAAAUUUAUUGUAGUAUACUUGACUUACAAAGUUGUGUUAGUAUAGCAAAAUAAAUCAGUUACACAUACACAUAUAUCGGUUCCUUUUCAGACACUUUUCCUAUAUGGGUUAUUAUACCAUAUUGAAUAGAUUUUCCUGUGCUAUAGAGUAGGUCCUUGUUACCUAUCUAUUUUAUAUAUAGUAGUGUGUAUAUGUCAAUCCCAACCUCUUAAUUUACCCCUCCCCCUGACAUUUCCCCUUUGGAAACCAUAAGUUUGUUUGUUUGAUUUGGUUUGGUUUAGUUUUUGGCUAAACUAAACCAAAGUGGAAGUUCCCAGGCCAGGGAUCAAAUCCAUGCCAUAGCAAUGACCUGAGCCAUAUCAGUGACAGUGCCAGAUCCUUAACCAGAAGGACACCAGGGAACUCCAAGAUCUGUUGGUGUUUCAUUUGAGUCUUCCCUACCCUAUGUAAUCAGUGGUGGGGUCAACCAGUGAAACAGACAUAAUAUCAUACCAUGAGAAGGAAAGUAUAUCUGAUAACCUCAAAUCUGAGUACCUUUGUACUAAGGUCUUGUAGGUGCUCCAUCACCACUGAAUCAAAUUCAAGAUCCCCUGCACCCAUGAAGAUGAUACUCAAUUUGUCUUGAGUUUGUCUGGAAGGCAGAGAGCCCUAAAAAAUAUCAUGUGGGGCUCUGGAGCAGCAGAGAGAAGAUAUUAGAAAGAAGAUAAGGCAUCUAUGGAGUUUCCAUCAUGGCUCAGUGGAAAUGAACCCGACUGGGAACCAUAAGGUUGUAGGUUUGAUCCCUGGCCUUGCUCAGUGGGUUAACGAUCCAGUGUUGCCAUGAGCUGUGGUGUAGGUUGUAGACACAGCUUGGAUCCCGUGUUGCUGUGGCUGGUGGCAUAGGCCAGCAGCUAUAGCCCCGAUUAGACACCUGCCUGGGAACAUCCAUAUGCUGCAUGAGUGGCCCUAAAAGGACAAAACACAAAAAAAAAAAAAAAAGAAGAAGAAGAAGAAGUCAUCUAGAAUUGUAGAAAUACACAAAUAGUUUGCUGAAAACACAUGUUAAAUAUUAUAAUCCAAAAAUCACCAUUAGGUGAUUAAUUAGUCCUACCAAAUGUUAAACUAUAUUAGAAAGCUGUAAUAAUUUAAAUAGUGUGGUAUAAGCAGGUGAAUAGUCACACAAAUCAAUAGAACAGAAUAGAAAGCCAAGAAAUAGAACCAAAUAUGCAUGGAACUAUAGAUAUGAUAAAAGCACCAUUUCAAAUCAGUGGGGUGUAGGGUGGGAAAUGGAGUAUUUCAUAAAGUAUUAAACUGGAUACCCAUCCUAGGUAUCCCUUUGGAAAAAAAGCAAACUUGAUCUUUAUUCUUUCUGUCAAAAUUUCAAAUAGAUCAAAUAUAUAAAUAUGAAAAAUGAAAUCAUUAAAGUAUUAAGAAAAACUAUUAAAACAAAUUUUUUAAUGAUUUUUAGGUGACAAGUCCUUUCUAAUAAUAAGAUAGGAAACACAUGUAUUGUAGGCAAGAGUUUAAUUGGUUUUAUAUAUAAAGAACUCUUACAAAUCACUAAAAAAAAAAACUAAUUAACAGUUUACAGAAAGAA
rnacentral:lncRNA from 1 species